UGUUUUAAAGGCAAUAAAGCCAUUCAUUUUGUAAAUGAAAGAUUUAAACAAU
rnacentral:tRNA from 1 species